rnacentral:rRNA from 1 species
GACAGAGGGUGCAAACGUUGUUCGGAAUUACUGGGCGUAAAGCGCGUGUAGGCGGCUUUGCAAGUCGGAUGUGAAAGCCCACGGCUCAACCGUGGAAGUGCAUCCGAAACUGCAUGGCUUGAGUCUCGGAGAGGAAGGUGGAAUGCUUGGUGUAGAGGUGAAAUUCGUAGAUAUCAAGCAGAACACCUGCGGCGAAGGCGGCCUUCUGGACGAUGACUGACGCUGAGGCGCGAAAGCGUGGGGAGCAAACAGG